rnacentral:lncRNA from 1 species
AAAAAAAAAAGAAAAGUAUAUAUAUAUAUAUAUUAACAUGAUAUCAGAGCGAGCUGUCAUGUACUAGUAUUCGUUAAUUUUGAAUAGUGUCGCAUUUCCAAGAGUUGUGAUCUUAAUCGAAAAGAAAAAAGAAGGACCUGUUGCGAAGAUGCAGGUGAUGAGGGCGCGGAUGAGGCGCGCGAGUAAGCGCGCGGGGCGAGAGGUUCUCCUGGGCGUAGAAGCUCCGCGGUUGAUUCCGGAGAGGUAGGAGGAGAAGGUGUUGGGGGGCGACGACGCGUGGGGAAGCGCGCUGAUCACUUCCAUUGCUUUCGCCUCUGCUUUUGCUUCUGCUUCUGCCUCUGCUUUCGCUUUUCUUGUUCGACUUCUUCUGUAUUUGUAUGUGUCUGUGUGUGUGUGUGUAAGAGAGAGAGAGAGAGAGAGAGAGAGAGAGGAGUAUUGUGUUGUUGGUUUAGGUGCCUUUAUAUAUACGAGUUAUAAAGAGAGAGAGAGAGAGAGAGGUACCUGUGUGACAUUAUUGGACGGUUGUUUGGGUUUUAUGUAUUCCUUUUUUAUGUUUUUUUUUAUUUUUUUAUGAACAAAUUUUAUUGUAGUUUAUAAACUAUAUAAUAAUUAAAAUAAUUUAAUUGGUUCACUUCAGCUAAUAAUUUUUCUCUUCCGGUUAAAUAUAAAAAUAUUUUAAAUAUUGCUCUCUAACAGCUUAAACAACAGCUUAAGUUUUUAGAAUACAAUAGUUAUUUUACAUGAUAUCAAAAUAGGAGAUUCUGAAUUCAAGUCAAAUUAGGCUUCCAGCAUAAUAAUUUUCUUUCAUUUAAUUCAAACGCAUGUCAUGAGCCGACGAUCCAGACGUAAUAGCUUACUCUUUUAGAGUGCAACGGUAGCUUUGAGCUUGAACGGAAGAAAAAGAAACACUUGUCAUAGUCAAAAUGUAUCCCGACAUAACAAUUAGGGACGCGAUUCUCAUUUGGUCCAACCUGUCCUCCGCCAUAGGACAUGACAUUGAACUCAUUUCAGCCGACAAUUUCUUCGUGAUUUACACUUUUCUAUCAAUUACGUAUCACAAUGUAAACUAAUUUGUAAAGCACUGUAAAAUUUGUUUAUGAGCAUAACAUUAUAAAAAUACUAUCUUGAAACUCUAGGGUACGUGGUGCACAUCUUGCACAUAAAAAUUUAUAUAUUUUUUAGAACUUUUAAUAUUAAAUAAAUUAAUAAGAUAAUUAAAGGUCAUUGCGUAAGAUUUAUUAUAUCUAGAAAUCUAGGUGCAGCAUUGCCCAUUCCUUUACGAGAGAUGAUGGGUUGAUUAUCAAAAGGCAUUUGUAAUGGUACAAUAUCACUAUUUAAGAGUCAAUUUUCCUUGCACCAACCUUACCUUUUUUUUUUUCUUUUUCUUUUUUUUUUUUUGUAUUGUCAAAACAGUGCUAUUAAAAACCUUGAAUUAAGCUGUCCAUAUGUUCCAUAAAUAGAUAUAAAACUUACACUCAUAGUCUUCUUAUAGCCCAACUUAAUCUACUUAUAUAAUUUUUUUUUUUUCUGUUUACUAAAACCCAAAGUGAUGAUAUUAAGGGCCUGUUUGGCCUAGCUUCUGGAGAAGUGAUUUCUGUAAAAGUGAUUUUGGUUUGAAUAAUUGAUUUUGGUGAAAAACUAUAGAGCGUUUGGUUGAAUUUAAAAAAAAAGUGAUUUUUCUGCAGUGAUUUUCUAAAGCUGUUUGGCAAUAAAUUUUUGAUGUUUGCAUAUAUUAAUAUUUUUACUAAAUUUUACUUUUAAAAUAAUUUAAAUUAAAAUUUUAAAUUUAAUUAAAAGUAUAAUUUUUAAGUUUCAAACUUGUACAAAAUUUUUUUUUUGAAAUUUCAAAAUUUUAAAUUUAAAAUCUGAAUUUUAAAAUCUAAAUUUAAAUUUUCAAAUUUAAAAUUUUCAAUUUUAAAAAUAAAAAUAAAAAUAAAAAUUUAAAAUUUAAAAUUUGUGUUAUGCAUGUUUCGUGCAUUAAAAAUAAAUAAAAUAUUAUUCUAUCACGUUUUCUGACCAAACUUAAUGAACUUCUACGGACAAUGCCAAACAAAACCAUAAAAUGAGCUUAGCAGUUUUUUAAUUUUUUAAAACUUUUUUUUGGCCAUUUUACAAAAGAUGCUUUUGGAUUAAUUUGGUUAAACUAUGCUGCAAAAUAUAUCUAAUAAGAACAAAAGUAGAAGAGUCUAUCGAAUCCAUCCAUCCUUAUAUAAUUUACAGCUAAAAUUAUAAAAAGGACAACAAAACUAAAUAAGGGUUGAAUUUGCAAUUUUUUGGUUGCAAUUUAUAACUAAACAGUGGCUCAUUGCGAACUAUGCAAAAAUGAUAAUGACAGUAAAGUCGUCAAUUCCAACUUCGUGUAGAAAUACUAUUCUUUAAUAACUAUGCGAAAUAACCGACCGUCCCUAGAGCAAAUGGCAAAGGGCUUGGUGGUUGGUACCCGAGACCCAAGUUUGAAUCCUAGUUGAUUCACAUUUCAGCUAAGUUUAUUUCUAAAUGAAAUAAACGAUGCGGGUAGCGUGUUACCUAUCUCUCAAAAAAAAAAAAAAAAAACUAUGCGAACUAUAAAUUACAGAAUACUAUUUUCUGACAGAAAAUAAGAGUUAUUUUACGUAACAGCAGUGCAAGUAACAUGCACGUUAUUAAUGUAGAUUAUUAUGUGAGAUGACUUGUAUUGGCCUUUACAGCUUAUAAAAAUGAAUGAUUCAAUUAUUCAAUAUAUAUAUAUAUAUAUAUAUAUAUGAGGAGAAAGAAAAGGACAAGUAUAAAAUCUCCCUUGCACAUCGAUCGAGUGCCUAACCAGCUUCUGAAUCGACAUUUAUUGCUUCAAUUAUUCAAUGCGUUACAAAAAUUAUUAUCUUUCUUUCUAAUAUAUAUUUUCACCAUUCGAUCCAAAAUAGCGACUUGAUUUUUAUUCUUUUCACGCGAACUCUUCACUUUUAUAAUAUCAAAAAGAAAGAAAUUAAAAAUCUAUAAAUUUGAGUCAAUUUCUCAAUAAAUUUGAGUCAUUCUAUAAUAAAAAUCUAAUUUUUAAUUUUGAAGACUGAAUUCAAGUGUAAUAUAUUUAAAAGUUAAGAAAAUAAAAUAUUUAAAUUGAAUUACACCAGUAACACAGCCGAAUUCGGGAUAGUAUAGGGUCGUCACAGAAUUAUAGCAUUUCAGAAAUGUUGUAUAUGGAUUAGAAAGUUGCUAGAGACUUAAUAUUUUUGCUAAUGGAUUAAUUAUAAUUUUUCCCUAAGUAUGAGAACAUAUAACAAAAUCUCUUAAAACAUAGAAGUACAAUAUUCCUUUUUUUCUUUGAAAAUCGAUUAAAAAUUUAAAAUAUUUUAGAUAGAAAACAUGAAGAAUUAAAAAAAAAAAUAUUACAAAUGCAAACACACCUCACCCCAUUCAUUACGGACGAAAAAGUGACCAAACGAGGGUCCCAAACCGAGAAAAAUAAGUAUACAAUAUAUGUUUCAGAUCUAUGUAUAUUUAUUGCUUUGCUUAGAUCUAAAUUGGAUGCAACAUAGAGGGUAAAUUACCUUUCGGGCCUCAAAUUAUGAGGCCAUUGUCAUUUUGGUCCUCAAAUUUUAAAUUGUUUAUAAUUUUUGGCUAAAAUUGUUACAAUUAAGUCUCUCAACCUAAUUAGCUAACUAUUGAUAAAUUACAAAUGUGAAAGUGAUAAAUAAUCUUAAUUAUUGUCGUAUCAUCAAUCAAAAUACUUCUGCAUCAAUUUAUUGUCGUAUCAUCAAUCAAAAUACUUCUGCAUCAACAAUUAAUUAAUAUUUAGCUAACUAAAUUAGGUUGUAAAGCUUGAUUGCAAUAUUUAAUUAGUUUGACUUAAAAAUUAUUAUAAAUUAAAAUUGAGGACCAAAGUGCCACACGUUUCAUAGUUUGAGGACCGGAGUGUCACCAUCCUCAUAUUUGAGGAUCAAAAGUGUAAUUUACCUUCUCAUAAAUGUGCUCAUAAUUAAAUUAGUUGGACAAGGUAUGGCACAAAAAAUAUCUCUCAUCUCCUUGAAUUGAAGGGAUUAAACUUCGAGGUAAUUUAAAUUGUACUCGUGAAAAAUGUUAAAUUUUCACACAAAUUCCUCUAAAAUUGAUAAUAUUAACAAUUUUUCGAUAAGCAUAAAAAUUAUUGGGGCAAUUUCUUAUAUACCCCUGAAAGUUUCCAAUUUUUCGAUUUACCCCUCUUAGAAGGCUAAUAUUGAAAAUACCCCUCCUACGUUCCAACCUAUUUCUAAUAUACCCUUAGAGUUAUAAUCUGUUAAAUAACACUGUUAUCUCUGUAAAAUUACUCUUUUACCCUUUUCAAAUAUACCCUUCCACCAUCAUUGUCUUUCUUAUUUGCCCUUAAAGUCAGGGGCACAAAAAGUAUUUCAACUUUUUAUCUUUUUCAAUAUACCCCUCUACCGUAACCAACCUUUCUUAUUUGCCCUUAAGAUAAGGGCAAAAUUGGCAUUUUAAUUUUUUUUAACUGUGAUAAAUAUUUAACUCACGUUUAACUCAGGUUAACUUAACAGGAGAUAACUACGGGGGUAUUUUGCAAUAACGGUGGAAUAUAUGAAGGGCAUUUUAGAAAGAAAAAAAAAGUAGGGGUAGAUCGGAUAUUUCCAGACGCAUGAGGGUUAUAUAGGCAAUUAUCCCAAAAUUAUUUAUAUAAAAAUAAUCUUUUUCCAGGGUAUUUUCGGUUAAAAUGCAAGUGAAUAAUCAUACUCUAAAAAGAGUCCGUAUAUUUAUAAGGACAUUGUCGAUAUUUAUUUUAUAUAAAUAUUAAUACGGUCAACACCGUCCUAUUAACUUAAUCUCAUUUUAUGUUUUAAUGCUUAGUUCGAUGUAAUUAUAAAUACUAUAUAUAAGUAAAGAUGCAUAUAGUUAAAAAUAAAAUAGUUAUAAUUAUUGUAAAUAAUAUAUUUGACUAAAGAUAGUAGAAAGCACUAUAAUUAUAAAUAAUUUAUUUAAUUUAUGCAAUUGAAAAGUAUGUGUGUAUAUAGAGCGGAGAGAUUAACCAUUUAUAGAAAAAUAAAAUAUUUUAUGUAUAACAUGUUAUUAGAAAGGUAAGUUUAUAUUUUGUUUAACGUUACGCUCUCCAUCUACUACAGCUACAAAUGCGGUCAAUUUGUGUAUUGUUCUAGUUGGUGCAAUUAAAUUUGUUCGUACAAUUUCAAUUGCAGCAGUGGAAUGAAAUACAUCAAACUAAAAAUAAGAUUUGAAUCUAUAUGCAUUUAUAACUGCAAUACAGUUGUAACUACAAACAAUUUAAUACAGUUAUAACUAUAUACAAUCUAGGGCUGUCAACGAGCCGAGCAUGAAUAAGCUGGACUAGCUUAUGUUCGACUCGUCUAAUAAACGAGCCGAACACAAGCUGGCUUGUUAAAAUAUCGAGCUGAAAAAUUUAGCCAUGUUCGACUCGUUCUGACUUGCGAUUAGUAAGUUAGAUUGUCAAACGCCCUACUAAGUGAAAAAUUGGAAGAAAAUUAAAACUUAAUCUAAUAAUUGAAAUUCACAAAAUAUAGAUCUCUUUAUAUUUAAAUUGGCCUAAAAUUCAAAUAGUAGAAAUAUAUAUAUAUAUAUAUAUAUAUAUAUAUAUAUAUAUAUAUAUGCUUUCGAAAGUAUGAAGAUCUUCAUGCUUAUAAGUUAUUUUCGAUGAUAGAAUAUCUGAUUCGGUCAUCGUUUCUGUUAGACAUGAUUUACGCUCUGGAAACUAUUUAGAAAUCAAAUUUUAUAAUUUUUUGACUUUAUUUGUCUAGUGAACGAGUAGCUUAAAAAUAAACGAUUGAAAAUAAAAAUCUCAUAAAAAAUAAUAAUAAAAGACUUAAAUUUCAAAUCAGAAGUAUUGAUUUUGCUAUUGAUGUUAAGUAGAAUUUUGUAUUAAAAUUUCAUGUAAUUUGGAUUGUUCUACAUCGUUAAACUUUAAAACGGGCUACAUCGACUGUUAAAAUAGUCAUUUUUAAAACCUUUUAAUCAUGUGGUAAAUGAUGUCGAAAAAUUAUAAAAUUUGGUUUCUAAAUAGUUCUAAUAGUUUCAAUUACGUAGAUUAUGUCUAACAGAGCUGAUUGUUAAAUUGGAUGUCCUAUUAUUGAAAACAACUUAUAAGUACGGAGGCCUCCGUACUUUUGAAAGUACGGAAGACGUACUCUCUCUCUCUCUCUCUCUCUCUCUCUCUCUCUCUAUAUAUAUAUAUAUAUAUAAUGCUAUUAAUAGCACCAAGUCAUUUGUACUAUUAAGUUUUUAGCCUUCAAAUGAAGAAAUAUACGAUUAGGAUAGUGCCACUAGUGUACGUUUGGUUCGGGGAUAAAAGGGGGGUUAGGGGGUUAACUCCUCUUUUAUCCCCAAACAGAAUGCCUCUAGGGUUGAGUACAUGGCUGGUGGAAUAGUAGGAUCCAAGGGAUGGGAAUGGGCAAACGGGUAGAUUAAACGACGAAACACUUGGUAGCACCAAAUGUUUGGUACUAUUAAUAGCAUUGUAGUCGGACUAUAUAUAUAUAGAGAGAGAGAGAGAGAGAGAGAGAGAGAGAGCUACAUCGAGCCGAAUACGAGUAAGCUUGUCUAAGGUCAUCAAUAUUUCAAGCUAAAAAAUUUAACUUGUAUUCGGCGCGUUUAUUAAACAAGCGAUCGAUCUCGAGUUCACUUCGAAUCGAACACGAGCUGGCUCACGAAUAGCAAGUUAAAUUGUUAGCCCUAAUGCAAUCAAACAACCUCUUACUAGAAAACAAACU